rnacentral:tRNA from 1 species
GGUCUUGUAGCUCAAUUGGUUAGAGCAUCGGUCUUAUAUGCCGCAGGUUCAAGCCCCUCCGGGACCA